rnacentral:ncRNA from 1 species
ACAUAAGCGCCCGGACAUUUCCAAUACGUGAAAUGUCGACGAGGAGAAAAAUCAUCGAAAUAUUCGGCGGAUGUUUUUCCGGCGCGGAAGCGUCGUCAGACCGUAAGCAAAACCCGCGGGCGACCGCGGAACAAAGGGA